CUUAAAGCUGUGGUUUGUAUCAAGUGUCCCACUCAGUGUCCACUUGUUCAGUUUAAGGCACUAAGUAUUUUAUUUUUAGUUUAUUGGGCUCUCUGGUGAAAUCAGCAAAUCUUCACAGAAUUGUGCCACCACUGGGAGCAUUUCGGUGAAAAAACGCCAGGCAGUGAGAAAUCCAUCCAUCCCGCCUCUGUUCCAGAGGGACCUCCACUGUGGAUGAAAUGUAGCCCACAACCUUUGACCUUUUGGGUUCAGCAUUUGUCUUCAGUCCAGUGACCACAAACAACCCCUGG